rnacentral:rRNA from 1 species
GAGUUACAUGCCCUACAGUGGGGAAUAGCCCAGGGAAACUUGGAUUAAUACCCCAUGGUAUCGCAAGAUUAAAGGUGGCCGCAAGGCUGUCGCUGAAGGAUUGGUUCGCGCCCUAUCAGCUUGUUGGUGAGGUAACGGCUCACCAAGGCUACGACGGGUACCUGGUCUGAGAGGACGAUCAGGCACACUGGAACUGAGACACGGUCCAGACACCUACGGGUGGCAGCAGUCGAGAAUAAUUCACAAUGGGGGCAACCCUGAUGGUGCAACGCCGCGUGGAGGAUGAAGGUCUUCGGAUUGUAAACUCCUGUCAUCUGGGAGUAAGACCUGGCUGUGAAUAGCAGACAGGGUUGAUAGUACCAGAAGAGGAAGGGACGGCUAACUUCGUGCCAGCAGCCGCGGUAAUACGAAGGUCCCGAGCGUUGUUCGGAAUCACUGGGCGUAAAGGGAGCGUAGGCGGCGUGGUAAGUCAGAUGUGAAAUCCCGGGGCUCAACCCCGGAACUGCAUCCGAUACUGCCGUGCUAGAGGAUUGGAGAGGUAGCUGGAAUUCUUGGU